AGCGAACGCUGGCGGCAGGCCUAACACAUGCAAGUCGAACGAACCUUUCGGGGUUAGUGGCGGACGGGUGAGUAACACGUGGGAACGUGCCUUUAGGUUCGGAAUAACUCAGGGAAACUUGUGCUAAUACCGAAUGUGCCCUUCGGGGGAAAGAUUUAUCGCCUUUAGAGCGGCCCGCGUCUGAUUAGCUAGUUGGUUGAGGUAAUGGCUCACCAAGGCGACGAUCAGUAGCUGGUCUGAGAGGAUGAUCAGCCACAUUGGGACUGAGACACGGCCCAAACUCCUACGGGAGGCAGCAGUGGGGAAUCUUGCGCAAUGGGCGAAAGCCUGACGCAGCCAUGCCGCGUGAAUGAUGAAGGUCUUAGGAUUGUAAAAUUCAUUCACCGGGGACGAUAAUGACGGUACCCGGAGAAGAAGCCCCGGCUAACUUCGUG
rnacentral:rRNA from 1 species